AGAAUGUAAAUAUAUGUCCUCGCCUUAAAAAGCGUUGAUAAACUUAUACAACUUUCAACAACGGAUCUCUGGGCUCUCGCAUCGAUGAAGAACGCAGCGAAAUGCGAUAAGUAAUGUGAAUUGCAGAUUUUCAGUGAAUCAUCGAAUCUUUGAACGCACCUUGCGCUCCUUGGUAUUCCGAGGAGCAUGCCUGUUUGAGUGUCAUUAAAUUCUCAACUCUGAUCGAUUUGUUUCGACUUCGGAGCUUGGAUUUGGAGCGUGCUGGCGUCGGUCGGCUCCUCUUAAAUGCAUCAGCGGAAUCUAACGUUUCGGACGUCAGUGUGAUAAUCAUGUUGCGCUGUCUGUCUGAUCUGAAAGCCCGCUCACAAUGGUCUUCGGACAACUUCAUAUCAAAUUUGACCUCAAAUCAGGUAGGACUACCCGCUGAACUUAAGCAUAUCAAUAAGCGGAGGA
rnacentral:rRNA from 1 species